rnacentral:rRNA from 1 species
UACGUAGGGGGCGAGCGUUGUCCGGAUUUAUUGGGCGUAAAGAGCUCGUAGGCGGUUCGAUAAGUCGGACGUGAAAUCUCCACGCUCAACGUGGAGGGGCCGUUCGAUACUGUCGUGACUCGAGUCCGGUAGGGGAGUGUGGAAUUCCCGGUGUAGCGGUGAAAUGCGCAGAGAUCGGGAGGAACACCGAUGGCGAAGGCAGGUCUCUGGGCCGCAACUGACGCUGAGGAGCGAAAGCAUGGGGAGCGAACAGG